GACGAACGCUGGCGGCGUGCUUAACACAUGCCAGUCGAACGGUGAAGCGCUUGCCUUUUUGGUGGGUGUGGAUGAGUGGCGAACGGGUGAGUAACACGUGAGUAACCUGCCCUCUUCUUCUGGAUAACCUCAUGAAAGUGGGGCUAAUACGGGGUAUUCCGGGUCUGUCGCAUGGCGGGUUUGGGAAAGAUUGCGCCUUUGGGGGGUUUCGGUGGGGGAUGGGCUCGCGGCCUAUCAGCUUGUUGGUGGGGUGAUGGCCUACCAAGGCGGUGACGGGUAGCCGGCCUGAGAGGGUGGACGGCCACACUGGGACUGAGACACGGCCCAGACUCCUGCGGGAGGCAGCAGUGGGGAAUAUUGCACAAUGGGCGCAAGCCUGAUGCAGCGACGCCGCGUGAGGGAUGGAGGCCUUCGGGUUGUGAACCUCUUUCGCCAGUGAAGCAGGCCUGCUCCUGUGUGGGUGGGUUGACGGUAGCUGGAUAAGAAGCGCCGGCUAACUACGUG
rnacentral:rRNA from 1 species